GAUGAAGAACGCAGCGAAAUGCGAUAAGUAAUGUGAAUUGCAGAAUUCAGUGAAUCAUCGAAUCUUUGAACGCACAUUGCGCCCAUUAGUAUUCUAGUGGGCACGCCUGUUCGAGCGUCAUUAAGUCCACUUAAGCCCUGCUUAGUGUUGGGAGACUGCUCCAGCGGUGCUACCCUGUAGCUACCCUGCAGCUCCUCAAAGACAGCGGCGGAGUUGUGGUAUCCUCUGAGCUUAGUAACUUGUUCUAGCUUUCGAGUACACCACUUCCCCUGCCGUAAAACCCUUAAUUUUUAAUGGUUGACCUCGGAUCAGGUAGGAAUACCCGCUGAACUUAAGCAUAUCAAUAAGCGGAGGA
rnacentral:misc_RNA from 1 species